AAACCAUCUGAACAUUUAAUGUGAAUAUUUUUCUGGUUAAAAUAUUUUAACUGUUAAAAGCUAGGAACCAUAGACCUUAUCUAGAGAAAAAAAGCUAGGAUUUUUCUUGCUUGUGGGUAUGGAGUAUUAUAUGAGAAGUAUAGAUUUGAAAUCACAUGCAGAGCUGGCAUUAUAUGCUUUCAACAGCACCUUCAAUCAAAUAUAUUUAUUCUACUGAUUUUACUUUAACUGCUUUUAUACUUAGAUUUUGUUUGCAAUUAAAGAAUAAAAAUCAAAACAAAACCUCAAGUAAAGGGUGCACUUCACAAUUUUCAUACACUUAGGAACAUUGCAAAUCCUUAUCUAAGAAAUGAUAAAAAAAUUCUAUUUUAUUUCAGUGGCAUUUUACCCCAUUAAGCACUAAAAUAUGCAACUGAAGAAAUACUUGGAUAAGAAAUAUGUGCAGUAGUAAGCAACAACAAAACCAAACAAAUAACAGCAAAAGUGGAAGACAUGCACCUGUCCCUGCUGGGGAAAAAAAAAAAAAAGAGUGAGUGAAAAAGAAUCUGCAAAGAGGUCUCCUUCACUCAAUAUAAGCUUUGAAGAACAACAUGAUGAAACUUGUUCAAAAAUGUAUACAUCUUGGGGAACCUUCUGAAGCUGAAUUAUUCCACAACAUAGCUGGAAGAUUUCAUUCUGCAACUUUUAUACUAUUAUCAGUACUACUACUACAUUAUCACACCAUCACAGCUACAAUGCUACAAAGGACUGCUUCCUUUCUUUGCCUUAUAUCUGGUGAUAUACCUAAGAGGAUUUUGUCUGCAGAGUUCAAAAACUCAAAGUGUUUUUCUUUUUUUUCAAAGUUAACAUUUCAAGUGAAUAAAGUAUUUUUCAUUGAAUCAUAGCUUCUGUUUUUGCCUGAAUUCAGUUUUGCAAUUCAUUCUUCUAAAAUUUAUCCAUAGGUCUUUCUCUAUUUAACUUUUGACUUUUCGAGGUCAAAGGGAACACGAUUCAAAAGCACUAUUUUAGUGGGCAAGAACUUCAGAAUUUUACAAAUAAAAAUAAAGAAUGUUUCUCA
rnacentral:lncRNA from 1 species